rnacentral:rRNA from 1 species
ACCAAGUAUUAAAGGUCAUGCCUGCCCAGUGAAAUUUCAACGGCCGCGGUAUCCUAACCGUGCAAAGGUAGCAUAAUCACUUGUCUUCUAAAUAAAGACCCGUAUGAACGGCUAAAUGAGGGCCUAACUGUCUCCUAUAGCUAAUUAAUGAAACUAAUCCCCCAGUACAAAAGCUGGGAUAACCCCAUAAGACGAGAAGACCCUGUGGAGCUUAAAUUAACAUGCUAACACCAAUCUACCCCACCCCAUGCCAUAGCACCUAAUUUUAGUUGGGGCAACUGUGAAAUCAAAAAGAACUUUCACAAUACGGACACCCGCACCUAGGCCAACACGCCCAAGUAGUAAUAUAGCAGACCCAGUAAAACUGAUCAACGAACCAAGUUACCCCAGGGAUAACAGCGCAAUCCCCUUUCAGAGUCCAUAUCGCCAAGGGGGCUUACGACCUCGAUGUUGGAUCAGGACACCCAAAUAGUGCAGCCGCUAUUAAUGGUUCGUUUGUUCAACGAUUAACAGUCU